rnacentral:rRNA from 1 species
GCGGCGUGCUUAACACAUGCAAGUCGAGCGGUAAGGCCCUUCGGGGUACACGAGCGGCGAACGGGUGAGUAACACGUGAGCAACCUGCCCCUGACUCCGGGAUAAGCCGGGGAAACCCGGUCUAAUACCGGAUAGGACGCUUCGUCGCAUGGCGGGGUGUGGAAAGGUUUCUUUCCGGUCAGGGAGGGGCUCGCGGCCUAUCAGCUUGUUGGUGGGGUGAAGGCCUACCAAGGCGAUUACGGGUAGCCGGCCUGAGAGGGCGACCGGCCACACUGGGACUGAGACACGGCCCAGACUCCUACGGGAGGCAGCAGUGGGGAAUAUUGCGCAAUGGGCGGAAGCCUGACGCAGCGACGCCGCGUGGGGGAUGACGGCCUUCGGGUUGUAAACCUCUUUUACCACCGACGCAGGCCCGUGCUUCUGUGCGGGUUGACGGUAGGUGGGGAAUAAGGACCGGCCAACUACGUGCCAGCAGCCGCGGUAAUACGUAGGGUCCGAGCGUUGUCCGGAAUUAUUGGGCGUAAAGAGCUCGUAGGUGGCGUGUCGCGUCUGCUGUGUAAGUCCGGGGCUUAACUCCGGUUUUGCAGUGGAUACGGGCAUGCUAGAGGUAGGCAGGGGAGACUGGAAUUCCUGGUGUAGCGGUGAAAUGCGCAGAUAUCAGGAGGAACACCGGUGGCGAAGGCGGGUCUCUGGGCCUUAC